UGUGAGGAUCUCCAGACCUCACGUCAGCUGAGGUUUGGGAACAGUAUUAACCUAGGAAUGCUUAAGCAGAAGAAGUGUGGAAAACAAGCCUGAAAAUAUUCCCCUCUGAAGGACGAGAUCUUUGAACUGCUGUGCGAGUGUGUACCAGGAAUUUCAGAUGACUCGGACAAGCUGUGGUUGAUUGACGAUUGACUAUGAGAUACACGAUUAGGCCUCAUAGCUUCCAGAGGAUGUGCCCUUCCUUUCUGACAUCAGUGUCACGACUGUGGCCAGACCGAGAUUCUCCCACGCCGAGCACAGCAUGGGCACCAUUCUCCAGGACUUCACAAAGCCCCUUCCGGCCGGAUUCAUUCUCAGCCCCCGCCAACCUCCGGGCCCUGCUGUGAGAGGGCCCUUCCCUCUCUCCUCAAGCUUGCAUCGCGCAUGCUCUGGUGAAGCAUUGGAAGUGCCGGCUUUAGAGGCUGUUCUGUGGCGUCUGUUCUCUGGACAGCACCCUGAGAGUUACUUACCUCCAGUGAAAUCUGCCGGGAGGUAAACAUCUUAAUCCAUUCACAGUCCAUGCCACCAUAUUUCAGCCUCAGCACGGGGCCAAAAAUAAUGGAGCCAGCAGGCCAUGGACCGAAACCUCUGAAAUUGUGCACCAAAACAAAUACUUCUCCUUAGCCAUCCAACGGGACGGCAGGCUCUUAGAAAACGACGGCGUCCUCAUCCACCUCAGUCACCAGAUCUGGCACCCUGUGACUUCCGGCUCCUCCCCAAACUCAAAGUGACUGCAAGAGGUUGAGUGGUGCCCAGACUGGUGGGCAGAACUGGGGCGAACAGGAACCAGGGAGAAAGAAAGCGGCGAUUUCAGCGGGAACUUUGACUCCAAGCUCGGGCUGGGCACUGCAUGGCACCUCCUGGACCUACCUGCCCUCUGCCGUCCACAUGCUCAUGGCCUUGCCCUGGGCAGUGCCCUCCCUCAGACGCAGCACG
rnacentral:lncRNA from 1 species